rnacentral:tRNA from 1 species
CAGGCUAUAGUUUAUUAAAACAUUAGCAUUGGAAGCUAAAAAUUAGGUUCGCUUAUAGCCUGA